rnacentral:rRNA from 1 species
UACGGAGGGUGCGAGCGUUGUCCGGAAUCACUGGGCGUAAAGGGCGCGUAGGCGGCCUGAUAAGUAGGGGGUGAAAUCCUGCGGCUUAACCGCAGGGCUGCCUUCUAAACUGUCAGGCUAGAGCACAGUAGAGGCAGGUGGAAUUCCCGGUGUAGCGGUGGAAUGCGUAGAGAUCGGGAAGAACAUCAGUGGCGAAGGCGGCCUGCUGGGCCGACACUGACGCUGAUGCGCGAAAGCCAGGGGAGCGAACGGG